rnacentral:tRNA from 1 species
GGUGGGGUGGCCGAGUGGUUUAAGGCGGCAGUCUUGAAAACUGCUGUACCUGAAAGGGUACCGUGAGUUCGAAUCUCACCCCCACCG